GCACUCUGCAGGCUUGAGACAGGGUCUCACUGUCACCCAGGCUGGAGUGCAGUGGUGCAAUCAUAGCUCACUGCAACUUCGAACUCCUGGGCUCAAACAAUCCUCCUGCCUCAGCCUCCCAAUGUCUCCCUCUGUCGUCUAGACUGGAGUGCAGUGGCGUGAUCAUGGCUCAACUCCUAGGCUCAAGCGAUCCUCCUGCCUCAGCCUCCGGAGUAGCUGCUGGGACUAUAGGCACAUGCCACCAUGCUUGGCUCAAACACAAAGUUUUUUCAUAAAACUCACU